rnacentral:rRNA from 1 species
AACGAACGCUGGCGGCAUGCCUAACACAUGCAAGUCGAACGAGACCUUCGGGUCUAGUGGCGCACGGGUGCGUAACGCGUGGGAACCUGCCCUUAGGUUCGGAAUAACUCCCCGAGAGGGGUGCUAAUACCGGAUAAUGUCUUCGGACCAAAGAUUUAUCGCCUUUGGAUGGGCCCGCGUUGGAUUAGCUAGUUGGUAGGGUAAAAGCCUACCAAGGCGACGAUCCAUAGCUGGUCUGAGAGGAUGAUCAGCCACACUGGGACUGAGACACGGCCCAGACUCCUACGGGAGGCAGCAGUGGGGAAUAUUGGACAAUGGGCGAAAGCCUGAUCCAGCAAUGCCGCGUGAGUGAUGAAGGCCUUAGGGUUGUAAAGCUCUUUUACCCGGGAUGAUAAUGACAGUACCGGGAGAAUAAGCUCCGGCUAACUCCGUGC